GCCAAUCUAAGCCCAUCCAACCAUAAAAUCAAAUAUUACCAACACUUUAUCUAAACCAUUUAACCUGUCCCAGUAUAGGUGAUAGAAAAGACUAAUCUAGGCGCAAUAACGCAAGUACCGUAAGGGAAACAUGAAAGACCAAUUCCUAGCACUAAAAAGCAAAGAUUAGACCUUCUACCUUUUGCAUAAUGAUUUAGCCAGUCAAACCGGACAAAAAGAAUUACGCCCGCCUUCCCGAAAUCAAGUGAGCUACUAUAGAACAGUUAACAGAACCAACUCAUCUAUGUAGCAAAAUAGUGAGACGAUUUUAUAGUAGAGGUGAAAAGCCUACCGAACUUGAUGAUAGCUGGUUGUCCAAAAUAUGAAUUUUAGUUCAGCUUUAAAUCUAAUUAAAUUACUAAUAAACCUAACUUAAAUUUAAAAGCUAAUCAAAAGGGGGACAGCUCUUUUGAUCACGUAAUCAGACUUUAUUAGAGGAUAAUGAAUAUCAGAAGCCAUCGUAGGCCCAAAAGCAGCCACCAAUUAAGAAAGCGUUAAAGCUCAAACAUAUCAACUAACCUUAAUCCCAAAAAUCCCAUCAAAAUCCCUAACACAGACUAUUGGACGAUUCUAUAAAUUUAUAGAAGACAUAAUGCUAAAAUAAGUAACAAGAAAAUAUUUCUCCUAGCACGAGCCUAAAUUAGCAACGGAACCCCCACUAACAAUUAACAAACCAACAAUUUCAACCAAACAACCAGCAAAAUUCUUAUAACCAUUGUUAACCCAACACAGGAGUGCUAACAGGAAAGAUUAAAAGGAAUAAAAGGAACUCGGCAAAUAUAAACCCCGCCUGUUUACCAAAAACAUCACCUCUAGCAUAACAAGUAUUAGAGGCAACGCCUGCCCAGUGAGCCCAUACUUCAACGGCCGCGGUAUCCUGACCGUGCAAAGGUAGCAUAAUCACUUGUCUCCUAAUUAGAGACUCGCAUGAAUGGCACCACGAGGGUUUGACUGUCUCUUAUUCCCAAUCAGUGAAAUUGACCUUCCCGUGCAGAGGCGGGAAUGCUAAUACAAGACGAGAAGACCCUGUGGAGCUUAAGAUUCAUAGUCUAACUCAAACUAUAUAACCCUACUUACAGGAACRAAAUUCAAAUCCACUAGACUAUAACCUUUGGUUGGGGUGACCUCGGAGCAUAAAAAAACCUCCGAAUGAUUUAAGCCCAGAUUUAUUGAUCUAAGCGUAACACUACCAGUAAUUGACCCAUAUUUUGAUCAACAGAACAAGUUACCCCAGGGAUAACAGCGCAAUCCUAUUCUAGAGCCCAUAUCGACAAUUAGGGUUUACGACCUCGAUGUUGGAUCAGGACAUCCAAAUGGUGUAGCCGCUAUUAAUGGUUCGUUUGUUCAACGAUUAAAGUCCUACGUGAUCUGAGUUCAGACCGGAGAAAUCCAGGUCGGUUUCUAUCUGUACAUUCAUUCCUCCCAGUACGAAAGGACAAGAGAAAUAAGGCCUACGCUACACGGUGAGCCUUAGAAAUAAGAUAUGAAUUAAUCUAAAUAUCCUAAUUCAAUUAUUUUCUACUCUAGAAAAGAGCUA
rnacentral:rRNA from 1 species